rnacentral:rRNA from 1 species
GACGAACGCUGGCGGCGUGCUUAACACAUGCAAGUCGAACGGAAAGGCCCUGCUUGCAGGGUGCUCGAGUGGCGAACGGGUGAAUAACACGUGGGUGAUCUGCCCCUUACUUUGGGAUAAGCCUGGGAAACUGGGUCUAAUACUGGAUAGGACCAUGCUGUAGGUGGUGUGGUGGAAAGAUUAGUUUCGGUAAGGGAUGAGCUCGCGGCCUAUCAGCUUGUUGGUGGGGUAAUGGCCUACCAAGGCGUCGACGGGUAGCCGGCCUGAGAGGGUGGACGGCCACAUUGGGACUGAGAUACGGCCCAGACUCCUACGGGAGGCAGCAGUGGGGAAUAUUGCACAAUGGGCGCAAGCCUGAUGCAGCGACGCCGCGUGGGGGAUGACGGCCUUCGGGUUGUAAACUCCUUUCAGCCAUGACGAAGCCCUUGUGGUGACGGUAGUGGUAGAAGAAGCACCGGCUAACUACGUG